rnacentral:rRNA from 1 species
UACAGAGGGUGCGAGCGUUAAUCGGAAUUAUUGGGCGUAAAGCGCACGUAGGCGGCUCCGCAAGUCCCAUGUGAAAGCCCACGGCUUAACCGUGGAAGUGCAUGGGAAACUGCAGAGCUUGAGUACUAAAGAGGAUCGCGGAAUUCCCGGUGUAGAGGUGAAAUUCGUAGAUAUCGGGAGGAACACCAGUGGCGAAGGCGGCGGUCUGGGUAGAUACUGACGCUGAGGUGCGAAAGCGUGGGGAGCAAACAGG